ACUUUGGUGAGGGUAACACCUCCACGUGCCUGUUUCACCCCUCUCGGAAGACGCCACAGAAGGCCAACUGGUCGGUGGUUACCACGCCCUGAGGGGCGGGUGUUUCUUACUCUUGGCAUGACUUCUGAGAAUGGCGCGUACAGCAAGAGGAGGCGGCACACACUGGAGUAGUGCAGUUUGGUAUCUGCCCAGAGUUAUGCACUGUGGACAAGGAGAAAAGAGAGUGCACUUAGCGGUGACCAGAAGAGGCCACGCUGUCCUGCCAGAAACCAGCCUCCUGUUUAAUUGUUUUCCUGCCUCCAGAGACUGAGCUUUAGAGAAAGCCAAGUGGAAGACAUGCAACUAAAUGGUCUGGAAGAUUCCAAAGACUGUGGAAUUUUUGCAAAUUAUAAAACAGAGGUAGCAAAACCACAUCUAGAGAUGUUUACCCAUCGAAGAGUGUGACAGUAAAAAUAACAAAUGACUCAAACGUACAGG